ACAGCAGAAACGUGGAACGAAAAAGGAUGCUCUGAACGAGGAGGAGAAGAAGAGGCUGAGCAUGAUGGCAGAAGAGGAAGAGGAGGACGAAGGGAUUACGAUCAAGAUAGAAGGGCCUCGCCUGCAGAAGAAAGGGUCCAUUGUGAGUGCAGAGACUUCAGUGUAAUCCUAGGUAGUCUGCAGAAUAAAAGAGAAAGCUUUCCUAAGUACACUUUUCAGAUGUGCUUACUUAAUGGAUUGAUUGUAACAUGAGUGCUCUAGUGUUACUUAUGAUGGAAUACUACUGGAUAAAUCUUGCUCUGGGAAGAACCAAAAAGAUGAUAUAUAACUUUCAUUUGAUCUGUUUUUAAUACAAUGAAAUUUGAUCCAUAUGUGAAUUAUUUUUUAAAGGUGUAAGGCAUAAAUAGGAGUCAUUGUAAAAUUCCAGUUCCCUUUAUCCAGUAGGAUGUCUAAAUAAUGUGGAAUGCAUUAGGAGUCAGUUGAUGGUGAGAAUCAAUGAUAGUGUUGUUGUUUUCUGGUAAUGAUAGAAACUCAUUCCUAAUAUGUAAUUAAAAGCAAUGGUUCUCAGACACUUUAUUAAAUGACAACUCUUUCCUCACAAAAAAAUUACCUUCGAGAAAACAUACAUGUCUACAGCUUUAUUCCCACUUUUGCAAUGAGAUACCAAAGAAGUAUACUAUAAUGCAAAGUCAUCAUCCAAACAUUUGCAGUUGGUAAAAAUAUAUCAGUAAAAAUACACCUUUUCACCAUGGAAAAUAAUAGCUUAGUAAUGAAGAAAAAAAAGGAUUAAUUUAGCUUUAUAACAUAUGUUACUUAAAAUGCUAGUUAUUUAGGAAUGUAUGAGGAUACUAGAUGGACCCAUAACAAAGAAAAUACUUUCAGAAUGUUUACCUACCACAAACUAAACAAAAUUCAUAUUAUCCAUCAUUAUGAAAUUUCUUAAUACUACCAUUUGUACAUGACAAACAAGUCAUCAACCAAAGGGUAUAUACUAUUUAAAACUUUCUCUUCAUGUAUGAUUGUGAGAUGUUACAAUAGUUCUGUUUUGUAAAGACUUGUACUGUACAUAACUUAAGUGUAUAGGAACAAAGGCAAUCAUAAGAAUCCGUCAGCUGGUGUUUUGGAUGGACUACAGAUGUUGUGGCUGUCCAAAAGAAAAAAAGUAUAAAAUGUUAUGAUCUAUUCAAUCCUUCACAAGUAAGAAGUAAUGAGGUGUAAAGUUGUACCAGAACAUUUGUUGCGUUUAACUUAUCCAUAAAACACCAACGUAGUUUUAAGAUGAUCAGAACCUUAUUUGAUUUUGGGAGUGCAUUAGAUGAAACAGGGCAUAUUGUACAUUGGGAAUGUAUUUUGCAGCAGAACAGUUCAUGUAAAAAGAUAUAUUCUAAAAAGAUGAUCUAAUAACAAGCCUUCAAAACUAGAGUUACCACCAAACUUGCUUGUAAAUAUAACAUACUAUAUUUUCUCACAUAGUAGAACAUUGUGUAUAAAGCUACAAACAACCAUCCAAUUAGACACUUAAGUGAACUUCAUAAAUUAGGUUCUUUGGGCAAGCAGGCUCAAUUCCUGUUUUUGGGUAUUUCUUGUAUGAUUAAAGUGAAAAUCCAUAUUGGUGCACAAGGAAAGCAAGCAUCUACAGACACAGUUAGGCCAAGGUGCUAUUAGGGAUCCCACAGGGGAGGGGAAGUGUGCUUGGAAUUUCAAAACCUAUUUUGAAGCUCCGUUAAAGAUUCUGGAAAGGCUACUGUUAUUCAUUACAGCUAGAGAGUCGCUGACUUCGACAGACAUGUUUUAUGUCAGGUACAUAUACUUGAGAUUAAAUAAGACUGUACGUGUUACUGGCUGUUAAAUCUGAUGCAUCCCCUUGUUGAGGUUUCUAAAUAUGGUUGACAGUGUGUGAAACAUCAUUUUAUUUUGGAACUACAUAAAAAGCUUGUUCCCAAAUGAAGCUUCAAUCAGCCUUUGUAGAAUACAGACAAUAUUUUA
rnacentral:lncRNA from 1 species